GACGAACGCUGGCGGCGUGCCUAAUACAUGCAAGUAGAACGCAGAUGCGAACGGGUGAGUAACGCAUAGGUAACUGCCUGGUAGCCGGGGAUAACUAAUGGAAACUAUAGCUAAUACCGCAUACUACCAGAUGGACCUGCAUUGUAUUAGAUAGUUGGUGGGGUAACGGCUCACCAAGGCAACGAUACAUAGCCGACCUGAGAGGGUGAUCUGACACACUGUGACUGAGACACGGCCCAGACUCCGACGGGAGGCAGCAGUGGGGAAUCUUCGGCAAUGGGGGGAACCCUGACCGAGCAACGCCGCGUGAGUGAAGAAGGUUUUCGGAUCGUAAAGCUCUGUUGUUAAGGAAGCGGUACUUGACCAGAAAGGGACGGCUAACUACGUGCCAGCAGCCGCGGUAAUAC
rnacentral:rRNA from 1 species